UACGGGGGGAGCAAGCGUUGUUCGGAUUUACUGGGCGUAAAGGGCGCGUAGGCGGCCAGCACAAGUCAGUUGUGAAAUCUCCGAGCUUAACUCGGAAAGGUCAACUGAUACUGUGCGGCUAGAGUGCGGAAGGGGCAACUGGAAUUCUUGGUGUAGCGGUGAAAUGCGUAGAUAUCAGGAAGAACACCCGUGGCGAAAGCGGCUCUCUGGAACGGUACUGACGCUGAGACGCGAAAGCGUGGGGAGCGAACAGG
rnacentral:rRNA from 1 species